rnacentral:rRNA from 1 species
AACGAACGCUGGCGGCAUGCCUAACACAUGCAAGUCGAACGACACCUGCGGGUCUAGUGGUGCACGGGCGCGUAACGCCUGGGAACCGGCCCUUACGUUCGGAAUAACCUCCAGAAAGGGGUGCUAAAACCGGAAAAUGUCCUCAGACCAAAUAUUUACUGCCGUUGGAUGGGCCCGCGCUGGAUUUGGUCGUAGGGAGGGUAAAAGCGUACCAAGGCGACGAUCCAUAGCUGGUCAGAGAGGAUCACCAGCGACACUUGGGCUGAGAAACGGCCGAGACUCUUGCGCGAGGGAGGAAUAGGGAAUAUAGCACUGUCGGGGAAAUGAAGAUGCAGCUAGGCCGGGAAAGUGAUGAAGGCCUGGAAGUAGUGAAGCUCUUUAAGCCGGGAUGAUAAUGACAGUACCUGAAGAAUAAGCACCGGCUAACUCCGUG